CAGAGGUGAGUAGAGCUCCUUCCGAAGGGGGAUUAACUCCUGCCUCUGGAGUCGAGAGUUUGGCUAUCAGGCCUGCAGUAGGGGUAGGUGAGAGUAGUGCAAGUUUACAUCCAGAGCCCGUAUCCGUUGCUUUGGGGAUGUCCAAUAUAUCUGGACGGGCCCCAAGACGAACUGGACGUGUAGGGGCAGGCCAGCAUUCAAACCUGUACCGCUUACCACGAGCUGUAGGGAGUGAGGCUAAUCAAAUCUCUGUCACGUCUACCGUGGGUGCUAACUCCGUGGUGGCCUGGUUUAGACCUUGGGAUUAGCAGAGUUGUUCAUCGUUGGGACUACGAUGACUAAUGGGGGGGUGGAUUGUAGUGAUAUGAUCAACCAUUUUUUUGGUAAAGUGGUACAUUCCACCUGUAUAAAAGGGGAUGUGAUUGACAUCCAGGUAGCAUGUCAUUUGGGGUCACGGAUAUGACGUCAUCUUGUGUGCGCCGUGUUUAUGUCCAGCAGUGUGGCUGAGGAGAGAUUUUUUUAGAUGCGGAUAAACUUCUAUCUCUACAAACCUCCAACUCGUACGCCAGUGAGUGCGCGGGUCGGUGUGAGUCAUUAUCUGCAGUGACACGGGGGGCCAGGAGGUGUUGCAGCAGGCUUUUGUGGUCAAUUUGAGAGUAUUUGCACGCGUUUCAGUCUCGGCACCGGAGAACUUCUGGGCGGGGUGGACUGUCCUUCAUUGUGCCUGCUAAUUCUUUCAACUACUCUUCUGCCAUUUACUGGACGGUGAAUGUUGUGGUACUGCAUACUUUGAUCAAAUUGACCGACUUAAUUGUAGCGCACUGGGGGGUUACCGUGACAACCGGAGCCGCUAGCGUUCCCGGCCUGAAGUGACUCAUCGCCCUCAAACUAAUUUGACUUUAACUUUGUGGGGGGUAAUUACAGACGAAUCAUUAAGUGUUUGACGCAACCAUUGUGUUUAACUGCCGUUUCUCUGUCAGACUAGUUUCUUUUGAAUUGCUUUACUUAAGAUUGUAUUUUAUUUUAUUUUGUUUGUAUGCAUACUGUGACACGUCACAACCUGUUGUGUUGCCCACAGUCUGUGAGUACCAGUGAGUGAGGAUUGCCAGUGACCUGGUGUCCUUGUUUCCGUCAGGCAGCGAGUGAUAAGUGUUUCUGACAAAUAAUAACCUGAUGUGUAUAUGUGACUGUGUAUGAAUGUGGGUAUUUUGUUUCUUAUGUUGUUCUGUUUCCUUUCCCUUCAGAAUUGGGGUACCAGUCCUAGCCAGUGUCGUGUGUGGUGGUGGUGUGGCUGUAGGUUUGCGGUGUUCACAACGUGGGUGAUGAUGCUGUGUGGUUAGAGCACAAGUGUUUGCUGUGUUCAUUGGAUAAGUAACUUGAGUCCCCCAGUUCUGAAAUCGGAAAAUUGUUUGUCUUUCAUAUUUUUAUGAUCCAUGCCUAUCCCUUUUUUUAGUGCUUAUUAAAAUAAUAAAUUGUGUAUAUAUAAAUUAGUGAUUUUGAAUAAAUUGUUGAAUUCUG